AAAAAUCUCGGAGCUUUGAUCUUUGAUUCAAAAAUUUGUUCCUUCUUGAAUUCUUACCAAGUUCAAGGCGCUCUUCAACGUGGUAUAAUUCUUUUAGCAAGAAAGCUACGUUUGUGGCAAGUGGAAGUUUGAAGAAAAAGAUUUUGGAGGAAACGGGAUUUGAGUUUGGAGAAGCGUAAAGAGCGAAUAAGGUACCGACGCUUACUGAGGCGAUCUGCCAGCCUAGGAUACACAUUCUGCUGAUUGAAGUGCUCCUUUGUCCUGGAGCCCAUAUUUGGUACAUACCCUUCCGUUAUGUAUAUAUGUAUGUAUAUUCAGGGGUACGGCAGGGCCCUGUCCUGUCAUAUGAGUCUGUUAUGUCUGUUAGAGGCAUGUAGACAUAUAUGUGGGUCGUGGGUCGCCAUUGUUCGGUCUUGUCUGUGG